AGCAGCCACCAGCAUCAGAAUCACGGUGGGCGGGGAGGGGAGCUUAAAAUGUAAAUCCCUGGGCUUCGCUUGCCUCUGACAAUUCAGAAUCGCAGGCAAAAGGCUCGGGUUCCCAGCUGGCUGAAGACAAUGAAACUAUUAAGGCAGAAUGCAACCAUGCUUGUCAAUGGGCGUCUUUGUGGGCCUGGGAAUGAAGACAGCAGCAGUACCACAGUACAGAAUCAUAAAUUUUCCAUUGAAAAAGGGAUACUUAUGUGAACAGAAACAAUCAUCUCUGAAGGCUCACUCCCAGGGGCAGCACCAGAAGAAACCUCAUGAGAUUUCCAUGCAUAACCAGAGCAAGGAAACGUGAUUUGUGGAUUCUCGUGUUAUAAAUGCUACUUCUGUUGAUUUUCUGUAAAUGUCAUGUGAAAUAAAUUGCACUAUAGCUUGAA